rnacentral:rRNA from 1 species
CAGUAGCCGCGGGAAUACGUAGGUCCCGAGCGUUGUCCGGAUUUAUUGGGCGUAAAGCGAGCGCAGGCGGUUAGGUAAGUCUGAAGUUAAAGGCUGUGGCUUAACCAUAGUACGCUUUGGAAACUGUUUAACUUGAGUGCAAGAGGGGAGAGUGGAAUUCCAUGUGUAGCGGUGAAAUGCGUAGAUAUAUGGAGGAACACCGGUGGCGAAAGCGGCUCUCUGGCUUGUAACUGACGCUGAGGCUCGAAAGCGUGGGGCGCAAACAGGAUUAGAUACCCCAGUAGUCCCUGUCUCUUAUACC